rnacentral:sRNA from 1 species
CUUGGUUACCGUUUCUGGCCUGGAAAAAGAGAAAAAAAGAAAAAAACCUUCGUCUUGUCCUAUUUUAUUUUGCAUUUUUAUUUAUUUUAUUUUACUUUAUAUCUAUAUCUAUAUCUAUAUCUAUUUGUUGUAUUCUAUUUUGAUUUUUACGCUCCCGUGACAGGGAAUAAAUAGGCUUUUGCAUAUGAUUAUCAGACUCAUCGUGAGUUUGCCACAGACAAAGAAUCCAUGUUUGGAGAGAGGGCAUUGACACCAGGCUUGACCCGACGACGACACAGCUUAACCUAUUGCUAAAUCUACAUUCAGUAUAUGAUCACAAAAAGGCUCCUUGCAACCCUGCGGGUUCUGGACACACAAGAGCUAUGGGAGGGAAAUGCAAGAGCCAGGUAAUGAGGGUGGGAUGUGGGAUGUGGGAUGUUUGGUUUACCCAUCCAGAGAGUUGAUUGAGGUUUAAGCUCCAGGAACGGAACCGGGCAAUCCAAAGUUCAGCAGAGCUUAUGCCGACUGCACCUAUUCCAAGGCGUAUUUCUUAUUUUCUUGUUCUUUGCUUUUUCCGGUUUUUUUUCUUCUUUUUUCUUUUCCUGCUUCCGUGGAGGCUUGUGCUGCUGGCGAGCUAUUUUUGGAUACUCAUUGCAUGCAUUUUAGCGCUGGGAAGGGAGAGAGAGAGAAGAUAAGAUGGUCAUGGGCGAUAGAGAGAUAGGCGCUGGCUGGGUGGGCCAGCAAGAAAAUCUCGGGCGGGAGAGCGACAAUUGAUUUCAGCAUG